AUUAACGCUAGCGGCAGGCCUAAUACAUGCAAGUCGAACGGCAGCGGGUGUAGCAAUACAUGCCGGCGAGUGGCGCACGGGUGCGUAACACGUAUGCAAUGUACCUUUAACUGGGGAAUACCCAUCGAAAGAUGGGCUAAUACCGCAUGAAACCACGAGAGGGCAUCCCCUUGUGGUCAAACCUUUCGGGGGUUAAAGAUCAGCCAUGCGCUCGUAUAGCUAGUUGGUGGAGGUAACGGCUCACCAAUGGCUCGACGAUCGAUAGGGGGUCGACGAGGAUGAUCCCCCACACUGGUACUGAGACACGGACCAGACUCCUACGGGUAGGCAGCAGUAAGGAAUAUUGGACAAUGGCCGAAAGGCUGAUCCAGCCCAUGCCGCGUGCAGGAUGAAGGCGCUCAGCGUUGUAAACUGCUUUUGUUCGGGAAAAAACCCCCCUUUUCUAAUGGGGGCUGAUGGUACCCGAGAGAAUAAGGGACGGCUAACUUCGUGCCAGCAGCCGCGGUAAUACGAAGGUCCCAAGCGGUUAUCCGGAUUUAUUGGGUUUAAAGGGUGCGUAGGCUGAUUAUUAAGUCAGUGGUUGAAUGCCCCAGGCCUAACCUGGGACUUGCCAUUGAUACUGAUGAUCUUGAGUACAUUUGAGGCGGGCUGGAAUGUGUCAGUAGCGGUGAAAUGUCUUAGAUAUGACACUAGAAACACGAUUGCGUAGGCAGCUCGCUAAACUGUAACUGACGCUGAGGCACGAAAGCGUGGGGAGCAAACAGGAUUAGAUACCCUGGUAGUCCACGCCUUAAACGAUGAUCACUCGAUUGUGUGCGAUAUACUGUACGCGUCUGAGCGAAAGCAUUAAGUGAUCCACCUGGGGAGUACGGUCCGCAAGACUGAAACUCAAAGGAAUUGACGGGGGCCCGCACAAGCGGAGGAACAUGUGGUUUAAUUCGAUGAUACGCGAGGAACCUUACCAGGGCUUGAAAGUUAAGGAAUGAUGUAGAAAUAUGUCAGUCAGCAAUGACCUGAAACUAGGUGCUGCAUGGCUGUUCGUCAGCUCGUGCCGUGAGGUGUUGGGUUAAGUCCCGCAACGAGCGCAAACCCCUAUCAUAGUUGCCAACAGGUUAAGCUGGGGACUCUAAUGAGACUGCCCGCGCAAGCGGUGAGGAAGGUGGGGAUGACGUCAAGUCAUCACGGCCCUUACGUCCUGGGCUACCACACGUGCUACAAUGGCGGAUACAACAGGCAGCUACACAGUAAUGUGAUGCUAAUCCCAAAAGUCCGUCUCAGUUCGGAUCGAGGGUCUGCAACCCGACCUCGUGAAGCUGGAUUCGCUAGUAAUCGCGCAUCAGCCAUGGCGCGGUGAAUACGUUCCCGGGCCUUGUACACACCGCCCGUCAAGCGAUGGAAGUUGGGGGUACCUGAAGUCGAUCACCGCAAAGAGUCGCCUAGGGUAAAACCAAUGACUGGCGCU
rnacentral:rRNA from 1 species